GUCUCAUGGGUGCCGAAGAAAAAGAUGGGGUAUUUGUUGGAUGGCGAUUUCACGGCUCCUUCUGGAAGCUCAUCGAUCUGGGCGGGCAAUGUG